CUACGGGAGGCUCCAGUGAGGAAUAUUGCACAAUGGAGGAAACUCUGAUGCAGCAACGCCGCGUGGAGGAUGACGCAUUUCGGUGUGUAAACUCCUUUUAUAUGUCAAGAAAAUGACGGUAGCAUAUGAAUAAGCACCGGCUAACUCCGUGCCAGCAGCACGCGGUAAUACGGAGGGUGCAAGCGUUACUCGGAAUCACUGGGCGUAAAGGACGCGUAGGCGGGAUAUCAAGUCAGGUGUGAAAUCCUACAGCUUAACUGUAGAACUGCACUUGAAACUGGUAACCUAGAGUAUGGGAGAGGGAGAUGGAAUUAGUGGUGUAGGGGUAAAAUCCGUAGAUAUCACUAGGAAUACCUAAAGCGAAGGCGAUCUCCUGGAACAUAACUGACGCUAAGGCGUGAAAGCGUGGGGAGCAAACAGGAUUAGAUACCCGUGUAGUC
rnacentral:rRNA from 1 species